rnacentral:rRNA from 1 species
AACGAACGCUGGCGGCAGGCUUAACACAUGCAAGUCGAACGCAUGCCUUCGGGCAUGAGUGGCAGCCGGGUGAGUAACGCGUGGGAACCUACCCCUUGGUCCGGGCUAGCUCCGGGAAACUGGAGAUAAUACCGUAUGUGUCCUGAGGGACAAAGAUUCAUCGCCAUGGGAUGGGCCCGCGUCGGAUUAGCGAGUUGGUGGGGUAACGGCCUACCAAGGCGACGAUCCGUGGCUGGUCUAAGAGGAUGAUCAGCCACAUUGGGACUGAGACACGGCCCAAACUCCUACGGGAGGCAGCAGUGGGGAAUAUUGGACAAUGGGCGCAAGCCUGAUCCAGCCAUGCGGCGUGAGUGAUGAAGGCCCUAGGGUUGUAAAGCUCUUUCACCGGUGACGAUAAUGACGGUAACCGGAGAAGAAGCCCCGGCUAACUUCGUG